UGGGGGAUAUUGCACAAUGGGGGGAACCCGUGAUGCAGCGACGCCGCGUGGGUGAAGAAGCGCCUCGGCGCGUAAAGCCCUGUCAGUAGGGAAGAAAAUGACGGUACCUGAAGAAGAAGCCCCGGCUAACUACGUGCCAGCAGCC
rnacentral:rRNA from 1 species